GAUGAACGCUGGCGGCGUGCCUAAUACAUGCAAGUCGAGCGAACGGACGAGAAGCUUGCUUCUCUGAUGUUAGCGGCGGACGGGGGAGUAACACGUGGAUAACCUACCUAUAAGACUGGGAUAACUUCGGGAAACCGGAGCUAAUACCGGAUAAUAUUUUGAACCGCAUGGUUCAAAAGUGAAAGACGGUCUUGCUGUCACUUAUAGAUGGAUCCGCGCUGCAUUAGCUAGUUGGUAAGGUAACGGCUUACCAAGGCAACGAUGCAUAGCCGACCUGAGAGGGUGAUCGGCCACACUGGAACUGAGACACGGUCCAGACUCCUACGGGAGGCAGCAGUAGGGAAUCUUCCGCAGUGGGCGAAAGCCUGACGGAGCAACGCCGCGUGAGUGAUGAAGGUCUUCGGAUCGUAAAACUCUGUUAUUAGGGAAGAACAUAUGUGUAAGUAACUGUGCACAUCUUGACGGUACCUAAUCAGAAAGCCACGGCUAACUACGUG
rnacentral:rRNA from 1 species